AUGUAUUUUAAUAACAUUGAAAAUUUUUUAGUGGAACUAAAAUGCAUGCAAUGCAUAGACAGUAAGAAAACUUAUUAUGAGAUAAUUAAAAAUUAAAGACAAUAAACCUCUAAAAUAUUCUCCCCAUAUGGAGAAUCCCAAGCAAUGAAUUUCUUUUUACUCCUGAGGUAAAUUCUACUUAUGGUAUCCCUAAACUUUAAGCGUAUAUAAAAAAUACUUCAACUUUAAUUUGUAAUAGAAAGUUCAAUUGCAAUAACAUGAAA
rnacentral:misc_RNA from 1 species